rnacentral:rRNA from 1 species
UACGUAGGAUGCAAGCGUUGUCCGGAAUUACUGGGCGUAAAGGGCGAGUAGGCGGUAUACCAAGUCCGAUGUGAAAUAUCCCGGCUUAACCGGGAGGGGUCAUUGGAAACUGGUAAACUAGAGUGCAGGAGAGGCUAGCGGAAUUCCCGGUGUAGUGGUGAAAUGCGUAGAUAUCGGAAGAACACCAGUGGCGAAGGCGACUCACUGGACAUGUAUUGACGCUGAGGUACGAAAGCGUGGGGAGCAAACAGG